rnacentral:rRNA from 1 species
CUGACCUACGGGACGCAGCAGUGGGGGAUAUUGCACAAUGGGGGGAACCCUGAUGCAGCGACGCCGCGUGAACGAAGAAAUAUUUCGGUAUGUAAAGUUCUAUCAGCAGGGAAGAAAAUGACAGUACCUGACCAAGAAGCCCCGGCUAACUACGUGCCAGCAGCCGCGGGAAUACGUAGGGGGCGAGCGUUAUCCGGAUUCACUGGGCGUAAAGGGAGCGCAGGCGGCACGGCAAGUCCGGUGUGAAAGCCCGGGGCACAACCCCGGGACGGCACUGGA